rnacentral:lncRNA from 12 species
GAGGUAGAAGUCCGAGGGAAGAACACCCGCGAUUCCUCUCGCUACCAAGGACACCAUGUCAGCUUUUAUAAGUGACACCGCACGACGCGCUACAAGCGCUUUCUGCCGAUGCAGAGCGAGUUGCCAGGCACCCUCGCGGGCCACGCACUGCUUUCUCACGGUGGAUGAGGUCGCCUGCAGACCCGGGCUGGGCCUUAUGGGCUGCCCAGGUGUAGAUUUUUUAAAAAGCCUCAUGGGACAUAGCACCAUUGCUGAAUGCCUGGUACAUAUAAGAAACCUGCCUGCAUGGGAGGCACUCUACAAACACACUUCGGUGCUCAACAAUGUGUCCCAAAGCCCUGUCCUCCGGGAAGCCCUGUAA